CUGAAUGACACGUAAACACACACAUAACACCGCGUAGGUAAUUGUCAUGUAUUAGAACUUACAGGACUCGAUUCCGACAUACGGAGACUGAUUUAUAGGCCAGGUUGCAAAACUUGUUAACUCUUAGGCAAAAAGCCGAAAAAGAGGUCAAAACCCGCAUCUGCCAUUCGUAUGACACGCAAACACACAUAUAGCACCGUGUAGGUAAUAGACACGCCUUAGAACUUACGGGACUCGAUUCUGACAUACAGAGACCGAGUUAUUGCCCAGUUUGCAAAACUCGCCAAUACUUAGGCAAAAAGUCGAAAAAGGGGUAAAAACUCGCAUCGGUAGUCCGAAUGACACGCAAACACCCUAAUAGCACCGCGUAGGUAAUAGACAUCGGAGACCGAGUUAUCGCCCAAUUUGUAAAACCCGCCAACACUUAGGCAAAAACACGAAAAAGAGGUCAAAACCCGGAUCGGCCGUCCGAAUGACAUGCAAACACACACAUAGAACCGCGUAGGUAAUUGACAUGCAUUAGAACUUACGGGACUCGAUUCUGACAUACAGAGACCGAGUUAUUGCCCAGUUUGCAAAACUCGCCAAUACUUAGGCAAAAAGUCGAAAAAGGGGUAAAAACUCGCAUCGGUAGUCCGAAUGACACGCAAACACCCUAAUAGCACCGCGUAGGUAAUAGACAUCGGAGACCGAGUUAUCGCCCAAUUUGUAAAACCCGCCAACACUUAGGCAAAAACACGAAAAAGAGGUCAAAACCCGGAUCGGCCGUCCGAAUGACAUGCAAACACACACAUAGAACCGCGUAGGUAAUUGACAUGCAUUAGAACUUACGGGACUCGAUUCUGACAUACAGAGACCGAGUUAUUGCCCAGUUUGCAAAACUCGCCAAUACUUAGGCAAAAAGUCGAAAAAGGGGUAAAAACUCGCAUCGGUAGUCCGAAUGACACGCAAACACCCUAAUAGCACCGCGUAGGUAAUAGACAUCGGAGACCGAGUUAUCGCCCAAUUUGUAAAACCCGCCAACACUUAGGCAAAAACACGAAAAAGAGGUCAAAACCCGGAUCGGCCGUCCGAAUGACAUGCAAACACACACAUAGAACCGCGUAGGUAAUUGACAUGCAUUAGAACUUACGGGACUCGAUUCUGACAUACAGAGACCGAGUUAUUGCCCAGUUUGCAAAACUCGCCAAUACUUAGGCAAAAAGUCGAAAAAGGGGUAAAAACUCGCAUCGGUAGUCCGAAUGACACGCAAACACACACAUAACACCGCGUAGGUAAUUGACAUGCAUUAGAACUUACGGGACUCGAUUCCGACAUACGGAGACUGAGUUAUUGCCCAGUUUGUAAAACUCGCCAACACUUAGGCAAAAAGUCAAAAAGGGGUAAAUACUCGAAUCGGUAGUCCGAAUGACACGCAAACACACUAAUAGCACCGUGUUAUCGCGGAGUUUGCAAAACUCACCAACACUUGGGCAAAAAGCCGAAAAAGAGGUCAAAACCGCAUCUGUCGUCCGAAUGACACGAAUACACACAUAUAGCACCGUGCAGGUAAUAGACACGCGUUAGAACUUACGGGACUCGAUUUUGACAUAUGGAGACCGAGUUAUUGCCCAGUUUGCAAAACUCGCCAACACUUAGGCAAAAAGCCGAAAAAGAGGUCAAAACUCGCAUCGGCCCUCCGAAUGACAUGCAAACACACACAUAGAACCGCGUAGGUAAUAUACACGCAUUAGAACUUACGGGACUCGAUUCCAACAUAUGGAGACCGAGUUAUCGCCUAGUUUGCAAAACUCGCCAACACUUAGGCAAAAAGACGAAAAAAUAGGUCAAAACCCGCAUCGGUCUUCUGAAUGACACGUAAACACACACAUAACACCGCGUAGGUAAUUGUCAUGUAUUAGAACUUACAGGACUCGAUUCCGACAUACGGAGACUGAUUUAUCGCCCAGUUUGCAAAACUUGCUAACUCUUAGGUAAAAAGACGAAAAACAGGUCAAAACCCGCAUCGGCCGUCCGAAUGACACGCAAACACACACAUAGCACCGCGUAGGUAAUUGACACGCGUAAGAACUUACGGGACUCGAUUCCGACAUACGGACACUAAGGUAUCCCCCAGUUUGCAAAACUCGCCAACAAUUAGGCAAAAAGACGAAAAAUAGGUCAAAACCCGCAUCGGCCGUCCGAAUGACACACAAACACACACAUAGCACCGCGUAAGUAAUAGACACGCGUUAGAAGUUACGGGACUCGAUUCCGACAUACGAAGACUGAGUUAUCGCCCAGUUUGCAAUACUCGCCAACACUUAGGCAAAAAGACGAAAAUAGGUCAAAACCCGCAUCGGUCGUCCGAAUGACACGCAAUCACACACAUAGCAUCGCGUAGGUAAUAGACACGCGUUAGAACUUACGGGACUCGAUUCCGACAUACGGAGACCGAGUUAUCGCGGAGUUUGCAAAACUCGCCAACACUUAGGCAAAAAGCCGAAAAAGAGGUCAAAACCCUCAUCUGCCGUUCUUAUGACACGCAAACACACAUAUAGCAUCGUGUAGGUAAUAGACACGCCUUAGAACUUACGGGACUCGAUUCCGACAUACGGAGACUUAGUUAUCGCCCAGUUUGCAAAACUCGCCAACACUUAGGCAAAAAGUCAAAAAAGGGGUAAAAACUCGCAUCGGUAGUACGAAUGACACGCAAACACACUAAUAGCACCGCGUAGGUAAUAGACACGAGUUAGAACUUACGGGACUCGAUUCCGACAUACGGAGACCAAGUUAUCGCGGGGUUUGCAAAACUCGCCAACACUUAGGCAAAAAGUCGAAAAAGAGGUCAAAACCCGCAUCUGCCGUCCGAAUGACACGCAAACACACAUAUAGCACUGUUUAGGUAAUAGACACGCGUUAGAACUUACGGGACUCGAUUUUGACGUACGGAGACCGAGUUAUUGCCCAGUUUGCAAAACUCGCCAACCCUUAGGCAAAAAGCUGAAAAAGAGUUCAAAACUCGCAUCGGCCGUCCGAAUGACAUACAAAUACACACAUAGAAACGCGUGGGUAAUUGACACGCAUUAGAACUUACGGGACUCGAUUCCGACAUACGGAGACCGAGUUAUCGUCCAAUUUGCAAAACUCGCCAAUACUUAGGCAAAAAGCUGAAAAAGAGGUCAAAAACCCGCAUCGGCCAUUCGAAUGACACGCAUACACACACAUAACACCGCGUAGGUAAUAGACAUGCAUUAGAACUUACGGGACUCGAUUCCGACAUACGGAGACCGAGUUAUCGCGGAGUUUGCAAAACUCGCCAACACUUGGGCAAAAAGCCGAAAAGAGGUCAAAACCCGCAUCGGCCGUUCGAAUGACACGCAAACACACUAAUAGCACCGCGUAGGUAAUAGACACGCGUUAGAACUUACGGGACUCGAUUCCGACAUACGGAGACCGAGUUAUCGCGGAGUUUGCAAAACUCGCCAACACUUGGGCAAAAAGCCGAAAAGAGGUCAAAACCCGCAUCUGCCGUCCGAAUGAUACGAAUACACACAUAUAGCACCGUGCUGGUAAUAGACACGCGUUAGAACUUACGGGACUCGAUUCUGACAUACGGGGUCCGAGUUAUUGCCCAGUUUGCAAAACUCGCCAACACUUAGGCAAAAAGCCAAAAAAGAGGUCAAAACUCGUAUCGGCCGUCCGAAUGACAUGCAAACACAAACAUAGAACCGCGUAGGUAAUAGACACGCAUUAGAACUUACGGGACUCGAUUCCGACAUACGGAGACUGAGUUAUCGCCCAGUUUGCAAAACUCGCCAACACUUAGGCAAAAAGACGAAAAACAGGUCAAAACCCGCAUCGGCCGUUUGAAUGACACGCAAACACACACAUAGCACCGCCUAGGUAAUAGACACGCGUUAGAACUUACGGGACUCGAUUCCGACAUAAGGAGACCGAGUUAUCGCCCAGUUUGCAAAACUCGCCAACACUUAGGCAAAAAGCCAAAAAAGAGGUCAAAACCCGCAUCGGUCGUCUGAAUGACACAAAAAUACACACAUAGCACCGCGUAGGUACUAGACUCGCGUUAGAACUUGCGGGACUCGAUUCAGACAUACGGAGACUGAGUUAUCGCCCAGUUUGAAAAACUCGUCAUCACUUAGGCAAAAAGUCGAAAAAGAAAUCAAAACCCGUAUCGGCCGUCCGAAUGAGACACAAACACACACAUAGCACCACAUAGGUAAUAGACAUGCCUUAGAACUUACGGGACUCGAUUCUGACAUACGGAGACUGAGUUAUCGCCCAGUUUGCAAAACUCGCCAAGACUUACGCAAAAAGCCGAAAAAGAGGUCAAAACCCGCAUCGGCCGUCUGAAUGACACACAAAUACACACAUAGCACCGCGUAGGUACUAGACACGCGUUAGAACUUACGGGACUCAAUUCAGACAUACGGAGACUGAGUUAUCGCCCAGUUUGAAAAACUCGUCAUCACUUAGGCAAAAAGUUGAAAAAGAAAUCAAAACCCGUAUCGGCCGUCCGAAUGAGACGCAAACACACACAUAGCACCACAUAGGUAAUAGACAUGCCUUAGAACUUACGGGACUCGAUUCAGACAUACGGAGACUGAGUUAUCGCCCAGUUUGAAAAACUCGUCAUCACUUAGGCAAAAAGUCGAAAAAGAAAUCAAAACCCGUAUCGGCCGUCCGAAUGACACACAAACACACACAUAAUACCGCGUAGGUAAUAGACACACGUUAGAAUUUACGGGACUCGAUUCCGACAUACGGAGACCGAGUUAUUGUCCAGUUUACAAAACACGCCAACACUUGGGCAAAAAGCCAAAAAAGAGGUCAAAACCCGGAUCGACCAUCCGAAUGACAUGCAAACACACACAUAGAACCGCGUAGGUAAUUGACAUGCAUUAGAACUUACGGUACUCAAUUUUGACAUACGGAGACCGAGUUAUCGCCCAAUUUGUAAAACUCGCCAACACUUGGGAAAAAAGCUGAAAAAGAGAUCAAAAACCCGCAUCGGCCGUUCGAAUGACACACAAACACACACAUAACACCGCGUAGGUAAUAGACAUGCAUUAGAACUCACGGGACUCGAUUCCGACAUACGGAGACUGAGUUAUCGCCCAGUUUGAAAAACUCGCCAACACUUAGGCAAAAAGUCGAAAAAGGGGUCAAAACUAGCAUCGGUCGUCCGAAUGACACGCAAACACACUAAUAGCAUCGCGUAGGUAAUAGACACGCGUUAGAACUUACGGGAUUCGAUUCCGACAUACGGAGACCGAGUUAUCGCGGAGUUUGCAAAACUCGCCAACACUUGGGCAAAAAGUCGAAAAAGAGGUCAAAACCCGCAUCUGCCGUCCGAAUGACACGAAUACACACAUAUAGCACCGUGCAGGUAAUAGACACGCGUUAGAACUUACGGGACUCGAUUCUGACAUACGGAGACCGAGUUAUCGCCCAGUUUGCAAAACUCGCCAAGACUUAGGCAAAAAGUUGAAAAAGAGGUCAAAACUCGCAUCGGCCGUCCGAAUGACACGCAAACACACACAUAGAACCGCGUGGGUAAUAGACACGCAUUAGAACUUACGGUACUCGAUUCCGACAUACGGAGACCGAGUUAUCGCCCAAUUUGUAAAACCGGCCAACACUUAGGCAAAAAGCUGAAAAAGAGGUCAAAGACCCGCAUCGGCCGUUCGAAUGACACGGAAACACACACAUAACACCGCGUAGGUAAUAGACAUGCAUUAGAACUUACGGGACUCGAUUCCGACAUACGGAGACUGAGUUAUUGCCUAGUUUGCAAAACUCGCCAACACUUAGGCAAAAAGUUAAAAAAGGGGUCAAAACUCGCAUCGGUAGUCCGAAUGACACGCAAACACACUAAUAGCACCGCGUAGGUAAUAGAAAUGCGUUAGAACUUACGGGACUCGAUUCCGACAUACGGAGACCGAGUCAUCGCGGAGUUUAAAAAACUCGCCAACACUUGGGCAAAAAGCCGAAAAAGAGGUCAAAACCCGCAUCUGCCGUCCGAAUGACACGAAUACACACAUAUAGCACCGCGUUGGUAAUAGACACGCGUUAGAACUUACGGGAUUCGAUUCUGACAUACGGAGACCGAGUUAUUGCCCAGUUUGCAAAACUCGCCAACACUUAGGUAAAAAGCCGAAAAAGAGGUCAAAACUCACAUCGGCCGUCCGAAUGACAUGCAAACACACACAUAGAACCGCGUGGGUAAUAGACACGCAUUAGAACUUACGGGACUCGAUUCCGACAUACGGAGACCAAGUUAUCGCCCAAUUUGUGAAACUCGCCAACACUUAGGCAAAAAGCUGAAAAGAGGUCAAAAACCCGCAUCGGCCGUUCGAAUGACACGCAAACACACACAUAACACCGCGUAGGUAAUAGACAUGCAUUAGAACUUACGGGACUCGAUUCCGACAUACGGAGACUGAGUUAUCGCCCAGUUUGCAAAACUCGCCAACACUUAGGCGAAAAGUCAAAAAAAGGGUCAAAACUCGCAUCGGUAGUCCGAAUGACACGCAAACACACUAAUAGCACCGCGUAGGUAAUAGACACGCGUUAGAACUUACGGGACUCGAUUCCGACAUACGGAGACCGAGUUAUCGCGGAUUUUGCAAAACUCGCCAACACUCGGGCAAAAAGCCGAAAAAGAGGUCAAAACCCGCAUCUGCCGUCCGAAUGACACGAAUACAGACAUAUAGCACCGUGCAGGUAAUAGACAUGCGUUAGAACUUACGGGACUCGAUUCUGACAUACGAAGACCGAGUUAUUGCCCAGUUUGCAAAACUCCCCAAUACUUAGGCAAAAAGACGAAAAAGAGGUCAAAACUUGCAUCGGCCAUCCGAAUGACAUGCAAACACACACAUAGAACUGCGUGGGUAAUAGACACGCAUUAGAACUUACGGGACUCGAUUCCGACAUACGGAGACCGAGUUAUCGCCUAGUUUGCAAAACUCGCCAACACUUAGGAAAAAAGACAAAAAAUAGGUCAAAACCUGCAUCGGUCGUCUGAAUGACACGCAAACACACACAUAACACCGCGUAGGUAAUAGUCAUGCAUUAGAACUUACGGGACUCGAUUCCGACAUACGGAGACUGAUUUAUCGCCCAGUUUGAAAAACUUGCCAACACUUAGGCAAAAAGACGAAAAAUAGGUCAAAACCCGCAUCGGCCGUCCGAAUGACACGCAAACACACACAUAGCACCGCGUAGGUAAUUGACACGCAUAAGAACUUACGGGAUUCGAUUCCGACAUACGGA
rnacentral:lncRNA from 1 species